CCUACGGGCGGCAGCAGUGGGGAAUAUUGCACAAUGGGGGAAACCCUGAUGCAGCGACGCCGCGUGAGUGAAGAAGUAUUUCGGUAUGUAAAGCUCUAUCAGCCGGGAAGAAAUAGCGACCUUUGGGUCGCCAGACGGUACCUGACUAAGAAGCCCCGGCUAACUACGUGCUAGGAGCCGCGGUAAUACGUAGGGGGCAAGCGUUAUCCGGGUUUACUGGGUGUAAAGGGAGCGUAGACGGCAGCACAAGUCUGAAGUGAAAUGCCGGGGCUUAACCCCGGACCUGCUUUGGAAACUGUGCAGCUAGAGUGCAGGAGAGGUAAGUGGAAUUCCUAGUGUAGCGGUGAAAUGCGUAGAUAUUAGGAGGAACACCAGUGGCGAAGGCGGCUUACUGGACUGUAACUGACGUUGAGGCUCGAAAGCGUGGGGAGCAAACAGGAUUAGAUACCCGGGUAGUC
rnacentral:rRNA from 1 species